GCACGUGGAGAAGUUUCCGUGUGACAACAUAAAUGUCAUGGGCGAGACCUUUCCAUCAUUCUGGAAGGAGUGGUAAAACAUUCAGUAACUCACCUGCUCAGACUCGUAACGUCGAUGAGGUAGUAUCAGCUGUGGAAGGACCAUCAAUGCUAAAAGGUACCUGCUAGGACAAAAUAAAUAAUUAGACUUGUAUACGAAAACAAAACCAGGAAACCAGAAAUUAGCAACAAGUCUGCGAUAAUGGAGCGGAUCUCGGAGGAAAGGCGAGAAACGUCGUCGGGGAGAGGGGCGAAAGGGUAUUUGUCGUCAUAAGAUGCCAGGAAUUUUCUGGUAAUCGGCACCAGACCUUCCGUUGAUGCCAUUUCUGAUCUCAAAUAACUCAAAGUUUCCGAUUUGAAUCAAAUACCAAUUUAAAUAUAUUGGAGUGAUCAAGACGGAACAGACGCGGCUGUCCUCCAAAUGGAAGAAAGCUCAGAGUCCAAUAGGGAAAAAGACGAAAACGACGACGUUAAGAGAGAGGAAUGGAAUAAGAGAAGAUACGUCAGCGUGUUUGAAUUCGUGGUAAAGUAACUUUUCAGAUUGCCUUUCAUUUUAAAUUUAUUUUUUAUAUUAAUAUUUAAAAAAAUCUAAAAACAUAAAAUUAUUAUUAUUAUUUUUUUAAAAUCACGAUUAAACUACAUAGACAAACAUAAUAUAAUU